rnacentral:rRNA from 1 species
CAGGCCUAACACAUGCAAGUCGAGCGGAUGACGGGAGCUUGCUCCUUGAUUCAGCGGCGGACGGGUGAGUAAUGCCUAUGAAUCUGCCUGGUAGUGGGGGACAACGUUUCGAAAGGAACGCUAAUACCGCAUACGUCCUACGGGAGAAAGCAGGGGACCUUCGGGCCUUGCGCUAUCAGAUGAGCCUAGGUCGGAUUAGCUAGUUGGUGGGGUAAUGGCUCACCAAGGCGACGAUCCGUAACUGGUCUGAGAGGAUGAUCAGUCACACUGGAACUGAGACACGGUCCAGACUCCUACGGGAGGCAGCAGUGGGGAAUAUUGGACAAUGGGCGAAAGCCUGAUCCAGCCAUGCCGCGUGUGUGAAGAAGGUCUUCCGAUUGUAAAGCACUUUAAGUUGGGAGGAAGGGCAGUAAGCUAA